UAACAGAUCUGUGACCACAGGAGUCCUCU
rnacentral:piRNA from 1 species